rnacentral:rRNA from 1 species
AGUGAACGCUGGCGGCGUGCCUAAUACAUGCAAGUCGAACGGAGAUUAAGUAGCUUGCUAUUUAAUCUUAGUGGCGCACGGGUGAGUAAUAUAUAGCUAACUUGCCCAUUACUAAGGGACAACAGUUGGAAACGACUGCUAAUACCUUAUACUCCGUAUCUAUAUAAGUAGAUACGGGAAAGUUUUUCGGUAAUGGAUAGGGCUAUAUCGUAUCAGCUAGUUGGUAAGGUAAUGGCUUACCAAGGCUAUGACGCGUAACUGGUCUGAGAGGAUGAUCAGUCACACGGGAGCUGAGACACGGUCCAGACUCCUACGGGAGACAGCAGUAGGGAAUAUUGCUCAAUGGGGGAAACCCUGAAGCAGCAACGCCGCGUGGAGGAGGACACUUUUCGGAGCGUAAACUCCUUUUCUUGGGAAAGAAUUAUGACGGUACCCAAGGAAUAAGCACCGGCUAACUCCGUG